rnacentral:rRNA from 1 species
CACGUAGGGCGCAAGCGUUGUCCGGAAUUAUUGGGCGUAAAGAGCUCGUAGGCGGUCUGUUGCGUCCGCUGUGAAAACUCGGGGCUUAACCCCGAGCCUGCAGUGGAUACGGGCAGACUAGAGGUAGGUAGGGGAGAAUGGAAUUCCCGGUGUAGCGGUGAAAUGCGCAGAUAUCGGGAGGAACACCGGUGGCGAAGGCGGUUCUCUGGACAGUUACUGACGCUGAUGCACGAAGGCCAGGGGAGCAAACGGG